rnacentral:lncRNA from 10 species
UAUAUCUAACAAGAACUUUAAUCCAGAAUAAAGAAUUACUAAAAAUUAACAAUGAAAUGCCAACCCAAUAAAAAGUAGCAAAAGCCUUGAACAGAUAUUUCACAAAAGAGACAGGGGCUUAUGUUCCCAACACACCUGGCCUGGACUCUGCAUGGAGAAAAAGGUUUGUUCACUAGACUGAGAUUUCGAAGGGUAGAGUAUUUGUAGAGAGAAGCCAGGUCUCCAGUGUUGCUGGGUUUGGGGAAAGCCUGUAAUGGAUUCAGGUGUCCAGGUGAGAACAGCUUUCUGACAAAUGUGCUGCUGAGGGUGAUGUUCUCUCAGCACGUGGCCUGUGAGCUCUCAGUGAUGCUCCAGCCAGCAGGAGUACACCAAUAAGCCUGACUCUCUGCCAAUAGCUGGGGCCAGAGGUCUCGUCCUCAUUUUUCACUGGUACCUG